CCUACGGGUGGCUGCAGUGGGGAAUAUUGCACAAUGGGCGCAAGCCUGUUGCAGCCAUGCCGCGUGUGUGAAGAAGGCCUUCGGGUUGUAAAGCACUUUCAGCGGGGAGGAAGGCGGUGAGGUUAAUAACCUCAUCGAUUGACGUUACCCGCAGAAGAAGCACCGGCUAACUCCGUGCCAGCAGCCGCGGUAAUACGGAGGGUGCAAGCGUUAAUCGGAAUUACUGGGCGUAAAGCGCACGCAGGCGGUCUGUCAAGUCGGAUGUGAAAUCCCCGGGCUCAACCUGGGAACUGCAUUCGAAACUGGCAGGCUAGAGUCUUGUAGAGGGGGGUAGAAUUCCAGGUGUAGCGGUGAAAUGCGUAGAGAUCUGGAGGAAUACCGGUGGCGAAGGCGGCCCCCUGGACAAAGACUGACGCUCAGGUGCGAAAGCGUGGGGAGCAAACAGGAUUAGAUACCCCGGUAGUC
rnacentral:rRNA from 1 species